AGAGUUUGAUCCUGGCUCAGAUUGAACGCUGGCGGCAGGCCUAACACAUGCAAGUCGAGCGCGAAAGUACUUCGGUAUGAGUAGAGCGGCGGACGGGUGAGUAACGCGUAGGAAUCUACCUAGUAGUGGGGGACAACUCGGGGAAACUCGAGCUAAUACCGCAUACGCCCUACGGGGGAAAGCGGGGGAUCUUCGGACCUCGCGCUAUUAGAUGAGCCUGCGUAAGAUUAGCUAGUUGGUGGGGUAAUGGCCUACCAAGGCGACGAUCUUUAGCUGGUCUGAGAGGAUGAUCAGCCACACCGGGACUGAGACACGGCCCGGACUCCUACGGGAGGCAGCAGUGGGGAAUAUUGCGCAAUGGGCGAAAGCCUGACGCAGCCAUGCCGCGUGUGUGAAGAAGGCCUUCGGGUUGUAAAGCACUUUCAAUUGGGAGGAAAGGUUCACGAUUAAUACUCGUGAGCUGUGACGUUACCUUUAGAAGAAGCACCGGCUAACUCCGUGCCAGCAGCCGCGGUAAUACGGAGGGUGCAAGCGUUAAUCGGAAUUACUGGGCGUAAAGCGCGCGUAGGUGGCUUGUUAAGUCGGAUGUGAAAGCCCCGGGCUCAACCUGGGAACUGCAUCCGAUACUGGCAAGCUAGAGUGCGGGAGANGGAGGUAGAAUUCCACGUGUAGCGGUGAAAU
rnacentral:rRNA from 1 species